rnacentral:lncRNA from 1 species
ACCUAGGAGAACUGGUGUACCUUUGAUUUAAUUUGUAUGGGAUUAUGAAGUUGUAUUAUAUGGUGUAAUACUUCCUGGGAGAUCUUCUGUUUUAACAGAUGGUUAAACCAGAAGUUAUUUGAAUAAAGUUUGUUGAUCUUUCAAAAAAAAGUAACUCCGCUUAUAAACCAUCUAUCGAUGAAGGUUCCAUCAGCUGAUUCUUUCCACACUGACGGCCGUUAGUGGAGUGAAGAAGAAACGAGGUGGCUGCAAGAUAAUUGGACGGAAACGUCAAAAAAUAACUCCACAAAAGCAAGCGUGGGACGGCCGUAACUCGUCCACUGCCGUAAUGUUAUUAGCACCAUUAUAUAUAUUUAUUUAAUUAUUUGUCAUUAC